UACAGAGGGUGCAAGCGUUAAUCGGAUUUACUGGGCGUAAAGCGUGCGUAGGCGGUUCGCUAAGUCGGUUGUGAAAUCCCCGGGCUUAACCUGGGAACUGCGUUUGAAACUGGAAGGCUAGAGUGUGGCAGAGGGGGGUGGAAUUCCACGUGUAGCAGUGAAAUGCGUAGAGAUGUGGAGGAACACCGAUGGCGAAGGCAGCCCCCUGGGCUAACACUGACGCUCAUGCACGAAAGCGUGGGGAGCAAACAGG
rnacentral:rRNA from 1 species